rnacentral:ncRNA from 1 species
GCAGUCAUCAGCUUGCGUUGAUUACGUCCCUGCCCUUUGUACACACCGCCCGUCGCUCCUACCGAUUGAGUGAUCCGGUGAGCUGUCCGGACUGCGAUUAGUUCAGUUUCUGUUCUCUUCGCGGGAAGUUCUGCAAACCUUAUCACUUAGAGGAAGGAGAAGUCGUAACAAGGUUUCCGUAGGUGAACCUGCGGAAGGAUCAUUC